UUCUAGCCCCGAUUGCAGCGGCAUCCUUUUUCUGAACCGGCCUUAACGCAGGCGAAAAAGAUAUAGCGGAAAGCGGGAAUAAGC
rnacentral:sRNA from 1 species